UAGGGAAUAUUGGACAAUGGGGGCAACCCUGAUCCAGCCAUGCCGCGUGAGUGAAGAAGGCCCUCGGGUUGUAAAGCUCUUUUGUCCGGAAAGAAAAGCUUCGGGUUAAUACCCCGGGGUUCUGACGGUACCGGAAGAAUAAGCACCGGCUAACUUCGUGCCAGCAGCCGCGGUAAUACGAAGGGUGCAAGCGUUACACGGAAUUACUGGGCGUAAAGCGUGCGUAGGUGGUUGUUUAAGUCUGAUGUGAAAGUCCUGGGCUCAACCUGGGAAUGGCAUUGGAAACAGGGAAGCUAGAGUGCGGUAGAGGGUAGUGGAAGUCCCGGUGGAGCAGUGAAAUGCGUAGAGAUCGGGAGGAACAUCUGUGGCGAAGGCGACUGCCUGGACCAGCACUGACACUGAGGCACGAAAGCGUGGGGAG
rnacentral:rRNA from 1 species